CCUGGCCCUGUUUGAGUAAAAAAUAAAUUCUACCUUUGAUACUGUUAAAAACUCUGUUUUUUCAAACCUUCAAACCCUCCACAACCUCUGUGGCACUGUACCCUUGUGGUUUUAAUCGGGUUUUAUCUGCUUCUCUUGAUAAUCUGGUUAGCUCCUUUGGAUUUCAUUACCUUCUACAUUAUGACAAUACUCAGCUUUUACUCUCCCUCCUUUC